rnacentral:rRNA from 1 species
CAAAAGCUACUCCGGGGAUAACAGGCUAGUAGAGCCCGAGCGUCCAUAGCGACGGCUCUGUUCGGCACCUUAAAUUCGGGGUGCAAGAGUAGAAAUACUCUUCCAAAAAUAUGGCUUAUAACGGUGGAGCCCAACCAUUUUAUGGAAUUUGAAAUUUUCAAUUUGAAAAAGUUAAAUUUGAAAAUGCGGGUAAUACCGUGGGAAGUUGUGUAAUAAUUUAGAAGUGAUAUAAUUUACUCAAAGGUUAUCUUAAAUAAAUUAAAUCAGAACAUGAGAAAUCAAGAAGAGUUUUCUGAAGAGAAAACUAAAAGAGAAAUUGAAGAUGAAAUUAGAAAUGCGAAUCAAUUGGGUUAUUUAAGAAAAGCAAUGAAGGAUCUCUCAGCGCUCGAAGGAACAGAUGAAGAGAAGAAUAAAUGGCUUCAAUUAAUAGAAGUUAUUGAUUCUUGUCAGUUAAUGACAGAAAAAUUAUAUCAAAAUGUAACAGAGGAAAAUAUAGAUCAAUUACUGGAUUUGGAGAAACUCCCAGAAAUAAUGGGAAUAAGAGACUCGAUUAGGAGAAUAAUGUUGGAGGAAAUAGAGAUUAUGAAGAAGCAUAAAUAAAUUAUUACACUAACCCCGUAGAGACUCGACCUUAACUGGUCGGAGUCCUUCAAAAAGAAGGGCUAACACGCCAUCUCCUCCCUUGCACACUUUGCAAGAAGGAUGAAGAUAUAGUCCGAUCCUCUUUGUAAAAAGAGAAAAAUUACCGACAGCGAUGUCGGCUCAACUUAUCCUGGGGGUGGAGCAGCUCCCAAGGGUUCGGCUGUUCGCCGAUUAAAAAGUUACGUGAGCUGGGUUCAAACCGUCGUGAGACAGGUUGGUCCCUAUCUACCGCAGGCGUUGAGUUUUGAGGAGAUUUGAUCCUAGUACGAGAGGACCGGAUUGAACCAACCUCUGGUGUAUCAGUUGUCCUGCCAAGGGCAUUGCUGAGUAGCUAAGUUGGGAAGGGAUAAGCGCUGAAAGCAUAUAAGCGCGAAACCCACUCCAAGAUGAGAACUCUUAGAUUUCCCGUAGAUGACGGGCUUGAUAGGCUCCAGGUGUAAGUGCCGUAAGGCAUUCAGCCGGGGAGUACUAAUAAAUCAUUAUAUUUUUUAGC